GACGAACGCUGGCGGCGUGCCUAAUACAUGCAAGUCGAGCGAGUCUGCCUUGAAGAUCGGAGUGCCUGCACUCUGUGAAACAAGAUACAGGCUAGCGGCGGACGGGUGAGUAACACGUGGGUAACCUGCCCAAGAGAUCGGGAUAACACCUGGAAACAGAUGCUAAUACCGGAUAACAACAGAUGAUGCCUAUCAACUGUUUAAAAGAUGGUUCUGCUAUCACUCUUGGAUGGACCUGCGGUGCAUUAGCUAGUUGGUAGGGUAACGGCCUACCAAGGCGAUGAUGCAUAGCCGAGUUGAGAGACUGAUCGGCCACAUUGGGACUGAGACACGGCCCAAACUCCUACGGGAGGCAGCAGUAGGGAAUCUUCCACAAUGGACGAAAGUCUGAUGGAGCAACGCCGCGUGAGUGAAGAAGGGUUUCGGCUCGUAAAGCUCUGUUGUUGGUGAAGAAGGACAGGGGUAGUAACUGACCUUUGUUUGACGGUAAUCAAUUAGAAAGUCACGGCUAACUAAGUG
rnacentral:rRNA from 1 species